GCGAGCGUAGUUCAGUGGU
rnacentral:tRNA from 1 species